GUUAAAGAUAUCUUCAGCCGCAGAUAUUCUCAACAUCUAACACAACUUAAAGUUGACAUUCCCAAAACAAGAGUUAUACCUAUGGAGGACAGGACAGUCUAACGGUCGACUUCUGAUGACAGCAUGACAUAACCGUGUCACUAGAGGGCGCUGCAUCAACACAACUGAAUGUAUCAACUGGAUAUUUGAUGGAC